CUUCCAAACAAUCCUUAUGAGUGUUAAGGGAGAGAUGGUGAUUUCAUGGGAGACCUUGCAGAGUGAGGUACGUAUAGUCUCAUUAUACAGCAGAGUCUAGUCAAAAAUGUCAGGGAUAAGGGAGAGGUACAGCAACUAUCCUUUGGCUCAUCAUACAUAACUAAUAAAGCAGAAUUGGAGACUAGUUGUCACUGUUUGUUCACAUGCGGCCUAUUUCUGGUAAGUGCUGACUAUGGGCACCUGACAAUAACCCCAGGAAAGGCAGUGAAAACAGGCAUCUUCUUCUGGCUCUGCAGGCUGGAGUGGCUGUGAUGUUAACCCACUAUGACAUACCAAAGAGGAACAUCCCAAGACAUUCCUAAGACCUGCCAAGUUUCUCUCCAUCUCUCUCAUAUAUGUGUGUAUCUCUCAGCAAACAGCGACCUUGAUCCAUUUCUCAGGUUUGCAUCGAAAGCGAUUGCUGUCUCUAUACAAAAUGACCAGACUGAAUCAUGGUGGAAUAUAUGACUCAAAAUACUUACUGCCACAUCUGAGGCACUAACCAAAAGGUUCAGCACAUGUUGCGAAGAGAACUGCCUUGUACUUGUGAAUACAUCUGCCUGCAGGUGCAAGAGAUUUCCAACAGGAACAAGAGAAGAAAAAAAUGUGAAAAAAAGUCCACUUCAGAAAUGAUCAGCCGCUUGGGAUAUUAUACCAAUAGGCAUGUGUUGUGGAUUAACCCAGCAGGCAGCUAAGCACUGCAGAGCCAUUCACUCACUCACUCAUCCCCUCAUCCCCUCACACCUAGUGAGAUGGGGUAAAAAAUCAGAAGG
rnacentral:lncRNA from 1 species